AGGACGAACGCUGGCGGCGCGCUUAACACAUGCAAGUCGAGCGAGAACCAGACCUUCGGGUCUGGGGACAGCGGCGAACGGGUGAGUAACACGUGGGUAAUCUGCCCUCGAUUCUGGGAUAGCCCGGGGAAACCCGGAUUAAUACCGGAUAGCCUCUUGAGCUUUCGGGCUCUCGAGAAAAGGUAGCUUCGGCCUCCGAUCGAGGAUGAGCCCGCGGUGGAUUAGCUUGUUGGUGGGUAAUGGCCUACCAAGGCGACGAUCCAUAGCUGGUCUGAGAGGACGAUCAGCCACACUGGGACUGAGACACGGCCCAGACUCCUACGGGAGGCAGCAGUGGGGAAUCUUGCGCAAUGGGCGAAAGCCUGACGCAGCGACGCCGCGUGGGGAAGAGGGCCCUAGGGUGUAAACCUCUUUCAGCGAGGACGAAGCCACGUCGGUUAAUACGCCCAGAGGUGACCGGUAACUGCGAGAACGAAGCCCCGGUAUAACGUACGCGACCAGCCAGCCGACGGUAAUCGUGA
rnacentral:rRNA from 1 species